rnacentral:rRNA from 1 species
AUGCCUGACCAGAACAAGGAGCCAACCUUGCUGAUCCCAGAUUCGAAGCACACCUCUUCGGAUCACCACACAUGCAUCGCUCUCAUCGAGCUGAGCAAUGCUAAUGAUGUUCUUCAGCCGUGGGAUGUAGUAGACAACGCCAAGGACCUUGUGUUCGUCGUUCUUGCCAACAAAGAUGAUGGUGUCGAUGCCCUUGAUUUCAACGACAGAUUCAUCGCUAAAUUUGAAGUGUCGGUGACAGUUCGGUCAAUUUCAGCGAAGAAUGUGGCCCGUCGUAUGGUUCGUGGCGCCGGUGUCGAGGUGCCAGCCCGCGCUUUGCUCAUCUUCACUCCUUGUACCGAGGUAGGCUUUCACCUUCAGCUCAUUGAUGUGAAGAGUGAUGCUAUUAUGCACCACUAUAGCUGGGGCUAG